AUGGCUGACGUGGGUCAAAGUGUAGUAUCUGUCCUUAUCAGCUUAUAUCUGAUACAGGUUGUACGUGGGCCCAAGAUAUUAAACAUAUUUUUGCAAGAUGACGGAGUGCUUGAAGCCGGCUUCACCUCCGCCAGGAGUCAGCCUGGCGGAGGUGGAGGAGGCUUUGUGUUCGGGAUCGGCCCACGGUUU